rnacentral:lncRNA from 1 species
AUGGCGAGGGCGGCCCCCCGUGCCGGGUCCCAGCACUUGCCCCACAUUUGCUCAGGCAGAGGGGCGACCAGACCUGGCGGGGAGCAGAGAGGCGCAGCCGGGAAAGGGAAGCGCAGCAGCCCGGGGGCACCCCGGACGGUGGCCUCUGAAUCUUUCGGUCUCUGCUUGCCCCUUCCCUCUUUACUUGCCUCCUCCCCCUUUCCUUCCUCCCCGCCCCCCUCCCGUCCUAAAGCGCGGCGGGCGCCUUUAAGAGGGAGCUUUGGUUACCCUGGGGGCGGGAACCCCUCGGCAGAUUGGGAGGCGGCGGCGCUCGGCCGCGAUGCUCCUUACUUUCGGCUCCAGCUCCCGCCGCCGCCGCCGCCUCCUGGAUCGCCACCGCCACCUCCUCCUCCUCCUCCUCCUCCUCUGCCUCGUAGCGUUCUUUUCUGCGGCGGAGGAGAGAAGUGCUAUGUCAGGAAAGUUCCGGGAGGGACUGUGUGGGGCCAUGCUCCCUGGGCUCCUGUGCAGGCGCCCGCGCGCAGCUCUUUGUAUGAGGGAUUGGCUUCCCCUACAGAGCAAGAGUAAUACAGAUUGAAUGGUGGCAUCCAGUUGCCUCAACCUUCAAGGAACUAACUUAAGGUGCUUUUCCGUUUAUUCCUGCCUUUGUCUUCUUUUGAUUGUUUACCUGCUGAUUUCUGUUUAGGAUUCUAGAAAUAUUCUCUAAGCCUGGUCAUUGGUUACAUCAUUCAAAGAUGUCAGAUCUGCUCACUUUCCCUGACUGUGCUUGUAUUUACAACUCUCCUUGUGCAUGUGAUGAGUUGGCCAACUCCUGGAUCCUGGUCUUUCUCUGUUCUCCUACCAUAAACCAUACUUCUACCUGCGUGACACCAGCAGAGGCUCACCCUCCCUGCAGUCCAGCGUGACAGAAAAGAACUGAAUGCUAAUCCAUACAGAAAAUCCUUCCACCUAGGAGGGUUUUUGACAAACUGCAACCACCAGUUUUAGUUAGUGCUUUUAAGUUUUAAUUCUAUUGUAUGAUAAGGCCACCUAACCCUGUGAGAUAAACACUAUCUUUCUAAAGAAAAGUGCACAGUCCUACUUUUUUGAUUUGCUUGUGAAUUGCUGCGGGUCUUUUUUGUUUGAUUGUUGUUACUAAAUUCAUUUAAAUCAAUUGUUCUUGUUAUUGUAAUUAUAUAAUUUAAUUAAAUAUUAUAGAAAGUGAAUGAAAGGUGAAUACAGAAGAAGAAUUGUAGCUUCUUGGAAAAAUAAAUUGAAUGCAUUCAUUGCUUUAUUAAAUGCU